rnacentral:rRNA from 1 species
AGAUAUUUUACUAAACAAAACUAUUCGCCAGAGAACUACUAGCAACAGCUUAAAACUCAAAGGACUUGGCGGUGCUUUAUAUCCCCCUAGAGGAGCCUGUUCUGUAAUCGAUAAACCCCGAUAGACCUCACCAUCCCUUGCUAAUUCAGUUUAUAUACCGCCAUCUUCAGCAAACCCUUAAAAGGAAAAAAAGUAAGCAUAACUACCCUACAUAAAAAAGUUAGGUCAAGGUGUAACCUAUGGGCUGGGAAGAAAUGGGCUACAUUUUCUAUUCAAGAACAACUUCUACGAAAACUUUUAUGAAACUAAAAGCUAAAGGCGGAUUUAGUAGUAAAUUAAGAAUAGAGAG